GUAGCAGCAGCAUACUAUACUGUACCAUGCGGUGUGCAGGACUUUUUUAUUCAGUUGGUGCGGCAAGGUGAGACAUUUUUAUUACCUUUUUUAUUUCGAAAGGAUCAGUACCGUGUUUAGUACAUUGUAAUGUAAUACCCUAUUCUUCUUUAAAAAGCUCGAGUUCACUCAUUUACGGAUAUUUUUUUAUUAUGAUUUUUUUCAGAUCGAACACCAACAACAUAAUAUCAUGGUAAUCACCCAGCAAGAAAACGCAGUGAUAAUGGGCCAACAGAAAACACAACAUCAAGAUGCUCGGAAAGGACUUUCUCUUUCGAACAAACAUAAUGGCACGUCAUCUUCAAUCGGCUAACCGUUUGGAAUAAGCGCUCAUCAUCGGUUUCAUGGCAGGGAAGUGAGCAGGCAAAAGAAGGCAUCGUUUUUUCCGCAAGGUCGCUCUGGUCAAAAUUUCAGCGAAUUGCAAGGAAUAAACCACCCGAGGGACAGUACCCGUGCUGAUUCAGGACGAUUUCCCAUACUUUGUACCUUGCUAUUGAAUUUUAAUACCCGAUCGAAACGAUGGCAAGCGCUGCCGAUAACUGGGUCAAAAAGACGACGGAUCAAGAAAUUUCUGCACUCGGUUAGCGAACUGAUUACAUAUCAUCAAGGAUAAGGAUUCAGAGCCGGCGGCUGGCAGUCCAGAGAAAGAGAAUGCGGAAAAACCUAGUCCACCGGCAGUAGAACCAAAGCUGCACCUGAUGUUUGGAGUUCGGUAGCUACAGAAGUUCUGACUCUAGCAGCUCCUGAAGAAAAACAAGCUGCAAGAGAAAAUGGAGAAACACCUUCCUCCGCGGAAGAUGCAGAGGCAUUCAACCCGGCGGAUGCAAGUUUGCUAAUGAAAGAUGUUCACUAAGGUCUAGUAGAAUCAAAGCUGGAUCUGAAGGUGCAGCGAAAGGAUUCUUCUUCGCCGGUUGGUUGGUUAAAACUUUCGAAGUUUUGCACGUGAAGCCGGGAUUACUUCAGGGAGUCUAUACGAUGGGUUUCAACGCCCUUCCAAGAUUCAGGAGAUGGCUCUGUUGGCCGGUCCGCCACGGAAUAUAAUCGCCCAGAGUCAGUCGGGAACAGGAAAAAACCGCUGCCUUUGUGCUGGCAAUGCACAGUUGAGUCCAUCAGUUAAAAAACUAUCUGCAGGUGAUUUGCCUUUCCCCCACGUAUGAGCUGGCAAUUCAGAAGGGGGAAGUAGCUGCCAAAAUGGCAAAGUUUUGUCCGGAAAUCAAACUUCUAUACGCCGUUCGUGGUGAGGAGACCGUCAAAGGGGCGAAGCUGACUAAUCAUAUCAUCAUCGGAACACCCGGCAAGCUAAUUGACUGGGGUAUAAAGUUCAGGACGUACGACCUAGUUUUUCCUUUUUGUACUGGACGAGGCGGGUGUUAUGGUCGGUGUUCUUCUUGGCCACGUACGAGCGCGAGGUAAUGGACUUUGCCGAGUACAUCGUACCCAAUCCGAUCGUCAUUCGGCAGGCGCGGGAGCAAGAAUCACUCGAUAACAUCAAACAGUACUACGUCAAGUUCCGCAACCAGGACGAGAAAUUGUGUGAUUACCGUCGGACAAGCGAUCAUUUUCUGUCAUAUGAUGUAUAGGACAGUUGUAAACGUCCAAGUGAACUUAUUUUCAGAACUGUUAAUCGAUCGAAACAGGUACGAAAAACGACCGGUUGGUUGACCUGCAGGAUGUCCCAGGAUGGUCACUCGGUAGCGGUACUGUCCGGUAAUCUAACGGUGGAGCAACGGUUGGAACGAACGUUUUGUCCAGGGGUAAGUUCCACCACUUGAUUCUGGCUACAGCACCAGGUUACGGAGAGAUUCUUUCGUCUUAGGUAUCGACGUCGAACAGGUGACCAUUGUCGUCAACUUCGACCUGCCGAUGGAUUAGCAGGGACGAGCCGAUUGCGAAACGUAUCUACAUCGAAUUAGACGCACCGGUAGAUUCGAACGGAAUCACCAUCAACCUAGUGGGCAGUGAUCGAAACAUGAUGAUUUGCAGAUCAAUCAAAAAACACUUCCGGAAAAAGAUUCAGUUGCGCGGAGAACUCGGACGAAAUUGAAAAGAUCGCACCGUAAAGUGUUUUCGACCAGCUACUGGUCAUACUUGUUUUGAUUCUGAAUUUAUAAUUUUAUAUUUUUUUAAUUUACAAAUGUAACCAACAGGGUAUCGCAAGCUAAUAAAUUUACAAUUACAAUUACAAUCUACCCAGUUCUAUCCAAACAUUUGAAAAGGGCCUAACCACAAAAUGUAACAAAUUGAAAUUUCAUGUUUUCCAUCAACAAAUAUCUACCCGAGCACGUACAUAACGCAACAUUUGAUUAUGAAGAAUUUUGAUAGCGAUUUUACAACAAUUUAUAAAAGGGCCUAAUUGAUUUUUAUGACCGAACUGAUUAUGAAAAGACCUAACUAAUUGAAAAGUGCCUAACUAGCAAUACACUCGUUUUAAAUGGAUUAUAACGUAUUAUUGGAUUAUGUCUGAUUGUAAAAGGCUUAUAACAUCUUUUCCAUAAUUUACAUACAGGGUCAAUUUGACCAUCAAAUUAGAAUUCAGUUAAUUCGUCUAACUUUCGGUGUAAUAUCAGACUUGAACAGCAUUUUUUGUGUGAGGUAUUCUGCCGCUAGAAGCAAAACUGUCCCAUGUUCUAUGGGAAUCCCUAUACACAUGGGACAAUUAUGCUUCUGGCGGUAGUAAUACAAGUAGUAGCAAUAUGCGCAAUUCCUUAGUGUUUCAUGCAAUAAGAAUUACCACGAAUUACU